rnacentral:rRNA from 1 species
ACGGCUCAGUAACACGUGGAUAACCUGCCCUAAGGAAGGGGAUAACCUCGGGAAACUGAGGAUAAUACCCUAUAGGUUACAGACGCUGGAAUGCCCUGUAACCGAAAGUUCCGGCGCCUUAGGAUGGAUCUGCGGCCGAUUAGGUUGUUGUUGGGGUAACGGCCCAACAAGCCGAUAAUCGGUACGGGUUGUGGGAGCAAGAGCCCGGAGUUGGAUUCUGAGACAUGAAUCCAGGCCCUACGGGGCGCAGCAGGCGCGAAAACUUUACAAUGCGGGAAACCGUGAUAAGGGAACCCCGAGUGCCUGUAUAUGCAGGCUGUCCAGGUGUCUAAAAAACACCUGAAGAAAGGGCCGGGCAAGACCGGUGCCAGCCGCCGCGGUAAUACCGGCGGCUCGAGUGGUGGCCACUUUUAUUGGGCUUAAAGCGUUCGUAGCUGGGUUGUUAAGUCUCUUGGGAAAUCUGACGGCUCAACCGUCAGGCGUCCAAGGGAUACUGGCAAUCUUGGAACCGGGAGAGGUGAGGGGUACUUCGGGGGUAGGAGUGAAAUCCUGUAAUCCUCGAGGGACCACCUGUGGCGAAGGCGCCUCACCAGAACGGCUUCGACAGUGAGGGACGAAAGCUGGGGGAGCAAACCGGAUUAGAUACCCGGGUAGUCCCAGCCGUAAACGAUGCGCGUUAGGUGUAUCGGUGACCACGAGUCACCGAGGUGCCGAAGGGAAACCGUGAAACGUGCCGCCUGGGAAGUACGGUCGCGAGGCUGAAACUUAAAGGAAUUGGCGGGGGAGCAC